UACGGAGGGUGCAAGCGUUAAUCGGAAUUACUGGGCGUAAAGAGCGCGCAGGCGGUCGUUCAAGUCGCGUGUGAAAGCCCCCGGCUCAACUGGGGAGGGUCACGCGAUACUGAUCGACUCGAAGGCAGGAGAGGGAAGUGGAAUUCCCGGUGUAGUGGUGAAAUGCGUAGAUAUCGGGAGGAACACCAGUGGCGAAGGCGACUUCCUGGCCUGUUCUUGACGCUGAGGCGCGAAAGCUAGGGGAGCAAACGGG
rnacentral:rRNA from 1 species